rnacentral:rRNA from 1 species
UGGAACUGUUUCUGGAGCAGCCUGACUGUUCCGACCUGAAGGGCUAACACAUGCAAGUCGAGCGGAGACAGUGAGUAGCUUGCUAUGAGCUGUUUUAGCGGCGGACGGGUGAGUAACGCGUGAGCAACCUUUCCCAGACAGGGGAAUAACACACCGAAAGGUGUACUAAUACCGCAUAAGACCACGGGAUCACAUGGUUCUGAGGUAAAAGAUUUAUCGGUUUGGGGUGGGCUCGCGUCCGAUUAGGUAGUUGGUGAGGUAACGGCCCACCAAGCCGACGAUCGGUAGCCGACCUGAGAGGGUGAUCGGCCACAUUGGGACUGAGACACGGCCCAAACUCCUACGGGAGGCAGCAGUGGGGAAUAUUGCACAAUGGGGGAAACCCUGAUGCAGCGACGCCGCGUGAGCGAAGAAGUAUUUCGGUAUGUAAAGCUCUAUCAGCAGGGAAGAAAAUGACGGUACCUGACUAAGAAGCCCCGGCUAACUACGUGCCAGCAGCCGCGGUAAUACGUAGGGGGCAAGCGUUGUCCGGAAUAAUUGGGCGUAAAGGGCGCGUAGGCGGCUCGGUAAGUCUGGAGUGAAAGUCCUGCUUUUAAGGUGGGAAUUGCUUUGGAUACUGUCGGGCUUGAGUGCAGGAGAGGUUAGUGGAAUUCCCAGUGUAGCGGUGAAAUGCGUAGAGAUUGGGAGGAACACCAGUGGCGAAGGCGACUAACUGGACUGUAACUGACGCUGAGGCGCGAAAGUGUGGGGAGCAAACAGGAUUAGAUACCCUGGUAGUCCACACUGUAAACG